rnacentral:rRNA from 1 species
CAAAUGAAUUGACGGGGGCCCGCACAAGCGGAGGAACAUGUGGUUUAAUUCGAUGAUACGCGAGGAACCUUACCCGGGUUUGAAUUGCUGAUGGCGGUAUUUGGAGACAGAUACUUCCCUUCGGGGCGUCAGUGAAGGUGCUGCAUGGUUGUCGUCAGCUCGUGCCGUGAGGUGUCGGCUUAAGUGCCAUAACGAGCGCAACCCUUGCCGUUAGUUGCCAUCGGGUCAUGCCGGGCACUCUAUUGGGACUGCCAUCGUAAGAUGUGAGGAAGGUGGGGAUGACGUCAAAUCAG